UUCAUUAAUUUAUAUAUGUUCUUUACUUUUUAAACUGAAAUUGAUAUAGAUAUUUGUAGAUUAUUAGAGUUAAAAAAAAUAAAAAGAUGGCACAAAUGGUAAAACCAGCUGAUCAAAAGUUCUCACAACAUGAUCAAAACAUGGAAGAUGGCCAUAUAAAUAAAAUACAAGAUGGUCAAAUAAAUCAUGAUCAGCUAUGUGAUUACCUACAUGAUCAACAGCUGCAGCCCCAAGAUGGAGCACAACUUGAAGGCAAAAUUGUUGCACUUACUUUGUCACCUAGACAUGCCCAAAACCAAGCCAUGGACAAGUGAUAUAUCAUUUUAUUAUAAAUAAAACGCGUUGAUUUUUCAUAUGAUCGAUCAAUUAAGUAGUAAUUAUUAUCUCAAAAAGCCAAAACAUAUAUAUAUAUUAUUUGUUUUAAUUUUCUUUGAAAAAUGACUUUUUGAGAUAAUAUAGUGACUAUGAGUUGACCAGUGACCAUUUAAGAAAAAUCAAAACUCGAAAUAAAAAAUCGAGAAAGUUGAAAAGGUGAAAAUAUUAUUUUUCACCAUAUAGGUAUUUAGGGUAAUUAGUAUGCUUACUGCAAUGGCGUACGCAAGAUUUCGCGAAGCAGUGUUUGUCUAUUGUCACAAUUUGUAUGUGAUUUUAAGGUAAUUAUUUUAUAUCUUUUUUUUAAAAUAUAUAUUAGCUAAAUAUUCUUUUCUGU